UGGGGAAUAUUGCACAAUGGGGGAAACCCUGAUGCAGCGACGCCGCGUGAGCGAAGAAGGUUUUCGAAUCGUAAAGCUCUGUCCUAUGAGAAGAUAAUGACGGUAUCAUAGGAGGAAGCCCCGGCUAAAUACGUGCCAGCAGCCGCGGUAAUACGUAUGGGGCGAGCGUCGUCCGGAAUUAUUGGGCGUAAAGGGUACGUAGGCGGUCUAUUAAGUCAGGUGUGAAAGCGUGAGGCUUAACCUCAUUAAGCACUUGAAACUGAUAGACUUGAGUGAAGGAGAGGAAAGUGGAAUUCCUAGUGUAGCGGUGAAAUGCGUAGAUAUUAGGAGGAAUACCGGUGGCGAAGGCGACUUGCUGGACUUUUACUGACGCUCAGGUACGAAAGCGUGGGGAGCAAACAGG
rnacentral:rRNA from 1 species